rnacentral:rRNA from 1 species
GACGAACGCUGGCGGCGUGCUUAACACAUGCAAGUCGAACGGAAAGGCCCCUUUGGGGGUACUCGAGUGGCGAACGGGCGAGUAACACGUGAGUAACCUGCCCUUGACUUCGGGAUAACUACAGGAAACUGGGGCUAAUACCGGAUAGGAAUCCUUGCUGCAUGGUGGGGGGUGGAAAGCUUCGGGGGUUUUGGAUGGACUCGCGGCUUAUCAGCUUGUUGGUGGGGUAGUGGCUUACCAAGGAUUUGACGGGUAGCCGGCCUGAGAGGGCGACCGGCCACAUUGGGACUGUGAUACGGCCCCGACUCCUACGGGAGGCAGCAGUGGGGAAUAUUGCACAAUGGUCGGAAGCCUGAUGCAGCAACGCCGCGUGCGUGAUGACGGCCUUCGGGUUGUAAACCGCUUUCAGCAGGGGCGAAGCUUUUGUGACGGUACCUGCAAAAGAAGCACCGGCUAACUACGUG